rfam:Oryctolagus cuniculus glibenclamide-sensitive voltage-gated potassium channel (Kv1.3-glib) gene, complete cds.
GUCGGCUACGGCGAUAUGCACCCUGUGACCAUAGGGGGCAAGAUUGUGGGCUCUCUGUGUGCCAUCGCCGGGGUUUUGACCAUUGCAUUGCCCGUUCCUGUGAUUGUUUCCAAC